GAUGAACGCUGGCGGCGUGUCUAAUACAUGCAAGUCGAGCGAACGGACGAGAAGCUUGCUUCUCUGAUGUUAGCGGCGGACGGGUGAGUAACACGUGGAUAACCUACCUAUAAGACUGGGAUAACUUCGGGAAACCGGAGCUAAUACCGGAUGAUAUUUUGAACCGCAUGGUUCAAAAGUGAAAGACAGUCUUGCUGUCACUUAUAGAUGGAUCCGCGCUGCAUUAGCUAGUUGGUAAGGUAACGGCUUACCAAGGCAACGAUGCAUAGCCGACCUGAGAGGGUGAUCGGCCACACUGGAACUGAGACACGGUCCAGACUCCUACGGGAGGCAGCAGUAGGGAAUCUUCCGCAAUGGGCGAAAGCCUGACGGAGCAACGCCGCGUGAGUGAUGAAGGUCUUCGGAUCGUAAAACUCUGUUAUUAGGGAAGAACAUAUGUGUAAGUAACUGUGCACAUCUUGACGGUACCUAAUCAGAAAGCCACGGCUAACUACGUG
rnacentral:rRNA from 1 species